rnacentral:rRNA from 1 species
GUACACGCUGUGACUAGCAUAUCAAUAAGCGGAGGAAAAGAAACUAACAAGGAUUCCCCUAGUAACGGCGAGUGAAGCGGGAAGAGCUCAAAUUUGAAAUCUUAAAGGGUUUCCCUUUACGAAUUGUAGUUUAAAGAAGUGUUUUCUGUUGAGGUUUUGGUAAAAGUUCUUUGGAAUAGGACAUCAUAGAGGGUGAGAAUCCCGUAUUUGACCUUUACUUUCAACUUUGUGAUACACUUUCAAAGAGUCGGAUUGUUUGGGAAUGCAGUCCAAAAUGGGUGGUAAAUUUCAUCUAAAGCUAAAUAUUGGCGAGAGACCGAUAGCGAACAAGUACCGUGAGGGAAAGAUGAAAAGAACUUUGAAAAGAGAGUUAAACAGUACGUGAAAUUGUCAAAAGGGAAGCGUUUGACACCAGUGUUGUUUUUCUGAAAAUCAAUUAAAGAACUGUUUAUGCUAAGCUGUUUAGACUUUAUCAGCUAUCUGUUUAGUUUUGAGCUUUCCUUUAAUGCACUUUUCAGUUAACAAGUCAACAUCAAUUUCUUUUGCUGUAAAAAAGCUUGAGGAAGGUGGCUUGAGAUUCGUCUUAAAUGUUUAUAGCCUCUUGCCUAUGCAGUCGGAGAGAUUGAGGUCUGCAGCGUAGAUCCUUCGGGGCUAAAUGCAUUUGUGCUAAGUUAUAGCAUUUUAUAGACAACUUGUUGACUAUGAUUUGUCUUGUAGCUUACUCGCUUAUGUUAUUUUACCUACGCUUAGGAUGUUGACUGAUAUGUAGUCGUA